AAGGGCCACUCCAGCCCAAAAAAUUUUUCUGAGAUUUUUGCAUAAAUUGGUAGUUAGUCGAGAAAAAGAAGCUAUCGUGAAAUUUUUUUUCGAAAAGCUUGACUCGUUUUCCAGAUAUAGACGCUCAAAGUUGAGAAUCACCGUAAAAAUACGACAAAAUUUUUUUCGGAAAAAGUACCUUGUGACGUAUGAAGGGACCAUUGUUUCAACAUUCGGCACUAUUGUUAUACGUUCGCACUGAAAUUCGCACGACUCGGUAGAGGCUCGGAAGAGGCGAUUCAUGUCGGAAUCUCGGUUGUCGUUUUAUUUAUUUUCUUCAUUGCGAUUGAUGUUCAGCGGAGGCUUCCAGCCAACAUGGACUAGUAAUUCGACAAAUCAAAGAUGGAAGCUUCAACCUGAACGCAUACCCUCAUCUUGGCAACGCAGCAAGCUUUUUAAUAUGGAAUGCUUCACGAAUUUUCAGAUGUGAAUGGAUUUCUGACCGAAGGCAUUUCUUAUCGUCAUGUCAUCUCAGGAAUUUCCAGGGAGCUGAAUAAUAAUUGAUGUCUCACCGCAUUAGAAGAAGAACCCCAUUCACAAAAUGGAAACUUUCCCGCAUAAAAAAGGUAACAAACUCUUUUAUGGAUCAGCAGAAAGGAUCUUGCAAAAAAAUGCUAGAUGAAGGUUGGAGAUUACAUGCAUUCUGUUAUCUUGCUACUGGCUUUGUGGGAGUGAUAACUUGCCCCUCUCUUCCAUGCAAGAGUUACCACAAAGACCUCAACACAUUAUUCUGUUUUUGUAUUAACAUUUUUUACAAAGGAGACUAUUUUUAAAAUUAUCAAAAUUUUAUAUAUAAUUUGGUCAUAUCUAUAUAAUGUUUGCAAAUCCACUGCUAUUAUUUAGAACUAGUAACAACAUAUAGGUAUUUUCUAGAAAUUUUGCAAUAGAUUAUUGUUUCAUGAUACUUUUAUAAGAACAUUUCUCAUGUGCAAUAGAAAUUACAAAUUUCUAGAUAGUUCACUGGUCUGAUUGUUUAGAUAUUUGAAUAUAUAAUCCAAUGUAGCCAAGUAUUUAAAUACAUCAAACAUGUAUUUAUUAUUCAUAAAUAUAGCAGGUUGAAAUUCUGACAGCUUAAAGGAGCUGAAAAGGCCCCUGUAAUAGCUUAAAGGUUAAAUACAAAAAUUAUAUUUACACAAGUACAUUGAAAAAGUUGAAUUAUUAAUAUAAUCUCAAAUCCCUCUUUUGUUUGUAUAAAAACAAAUUUAUAAUUUUUGAAAAAGUUGUUUGACUCAUGACUAAUGGUAGGUUUUUAGUCUUGUCUUGAAAGUUUGUAUACUUUCUUGUCCAUGCCCUCGAUUGUCCUGGUUUAUUUCUAAUAAGUCAUAGUCAUGUUGAUAUGAAGCUCUUCAUCCUAAUGAAUAUGUUGUAUCAAUUCAUACAGCUUUCAUUCCCGGUA